UACGUAGGCAGCAAGCGUUGUUCGGAGUUACUGGGCGUAAAGGGUGUGUAGGCGGUUGGAUAAGAGUGGUGUGAAAUCUCCCGGCUUAACUGGGAGGGUGCGCUACAGACUGUCUGACUAGAGUAUGGGAUGGGAGAGUGGAAUUCCUGGUGUAGCGGUGAAAUGCGUAGAUAUCAGGAGGAACACCGGUGGUGUAGACGGCUCUCUGGACCGUAACUGACGCUGAGGAGCGAAAAGCGUGGGUAGCAAACAGG
rnacentral:rRNA from 1 species